rnacentral:misc_RNA from 1 species
UUAAUGUUUUGUAUUGAUUCAGACACAAAAUAUAUUGCAUAAAUACGACGCAUAGCGCCGAAGCACGGCUAUAUUCCACGGGUUUUGAAGUUGAAGGCCGAGGCCAUUCGUUAAUGAUCCCUCCGCAGGUUCACCUACGGAGA